rnacentral:rRNA from 1 species
GGAGGGUGCGAGCGUUAAUCGGAAUUACUGGGCGUAAAGCGCACGUAGGCUGUAUAUCAAGUCAAGGGUGAAAUCCCCGGGCUCAACCUGGGAACUGCCUUUGAAACUGGUAAACUGGAGUAUGUGAGAGGGUGGCGGAAUUCCUGGUGUAGGAGUGAAAUCCGUAGAUAUCAGGAGGAACAUCAGUGGCGAAGGCGGCCACCUGGCACAAAACUGACGCUGAGGUGCGAAAGCGUGGGUAGCAAACAGGAUUAGAUACCCUGGUAGUCCACGCUGUAAACGAUGGAUACUAGGUGUUGGGAUGUAUGUCUCGGCGCCGUAGCUAACGCGUUAAGUAUCCCGCCUGGGGAGUACGGUCGCAAGGCUGAAACUCAAAGG